rnacentral:rRNA from 1 species
GACGAACGCUGGCGGCGUGCUUAACACAUGCCAGUCGAACGGAAAGGCCUCUUUCGGGGGGUACUCGAGUGGCGAACGGGUGAGUAACACGUGAGUAACCUGCCCUUGACUUUGGGAUAACUUCAGGAAACUGGGGCUAAUACCGGAUAGGAGCUCCUGCUGCAUGGUGGGGGUUGGAAAGUUUCGGCGGUUGGGGAUGGACUCGCGGCUUAUCAGCUUGUUGGUGGGGUAGUGGCUUACCAAGGCGUUGACGGGUAGCCGGCCUGAGAGGGUGACCGGCCACAUUGGGACUGAGAUACGGCCCAGACUCCUACGGGAGGCAGCAGUGGGGAAUAUUGCACAAUGGGUGGAAGCCUGAUGCAGCAACGCCGUGUGCGGGAUGACGGCCUUCGGGUUGUAAACCGCUUUCGCUCAUGACGAAGCUUUGUGUGACGGUAGUGGGUAAAGAAGCACCGGCUAACUACGUG